rnacentral:rRNA from 1 species
CAGGCGAAUAUUGGUCAAUGGGUGCAAGCCUGAACCAGCCAUCCCGCGUGAAGGACGACUGCCCUAUGGGUUGUAAACUUCUUUUGUAUAGGGAUAAACCUACCCUCGUGAGGGUAGCUGAAGGUACUAUACGAAUAAGCACCGGCUAACUCCGUGCCAGCAGCCGCGGUAAAUAAAAAAAAACG